rnacentral:rRNA from 1 species
GACGAACGCUGGCGGCGUGCUUGACACAUGCAAGUCGAACGCUGAAGCUCAGCUUGCUGGGUGGAUGAGUGGCGAACGGGUGAGUAACACGUGAGUAACCUGCCCUCUUCUUUGGGAUAACGCCCGGAAACGGGUGCUAAUACUGGAUAUUCACUGAUUCUCGCAUGGGGGUUGGUGGAAAGGUUUUUUCUGGUGGGGGAUGGGCUCGCGGCCUAUCAGCUUGUUGGUGGGGUGAUGGCCUACCAAGGCUUUGACGGGUAGCCGGCCUGAGAGGGUGACCGGUCACAUUGGGACUGAGAUACGGCCCAGACUCCUACGGGAGGCAGCAGUGGGGAAUAUUGCACAAUGGGCGAAAGCCUGAUGCAGCGACGCCGCGUGAGGGAUGGAGGCCUUCGGGUUGUAAACCUCUUUCGCUCAUGGUCAAGCCGCAGCUUUGGGUUGUGGUGAGGGUAGUGGGUAAAGAAGCGCCGGCUAACUACGUG